UACGAAGGGGGCUAGCGCUGCUCGGAAUCACUGGGCGUAAAGCGCACGUAGGCGGUUCGUUAUGUCGGAUGUGAAAGCCCUCGGCUUAACUGAGGAAGUGCAUCCGAAACUGGCAGGCUAGAGUACUAAAGAGGGUCGCGGAAUUCCCGGUGUAGAGGUGAAAUUCGUAGAUAUCGGGAGGAACACCGGUGGCGAAGGCGGCGACCUGGGUAGAUACUGACGCUGAGGUGCGAAAGCGUGGGGAGCAAACAGG
rnacentral:rRNA from 1 species